CUAGCGUUGUCCGGAUUUAUUGGGCGUAAAGAGCGUGUAGGCGGCCGAGUAAGUCCGGUGUGAAAACUCGAGGCUUAACCUCGAGAUGUCAUCGGAAACUAUUCGGCUAGAGUCCGGAAGAGGAGAGUGGAAUUCCUGGUGUAGCGGUGAAGUGCGCAGAUAUCAGGAAGAACACCUAUGGCGAAAGCAGCUCUCUGGGACGGUACUGACGCUGAGACGCGAAAGCGUGGGGAGCGAACAGG
rnacentral:rRNA from 1 species